UUGCCCUAGUAACGGCGAGUGAAGCGGCAACAGCUCAAAUUUGAAAUCUGGCUCUUUCAGAGUCCGAGUUGUAAUUUGCAGAGGGCGCUUUGGCUUUGGCAGCGGUCCAAGUUCCUUGGAACAGGACGUCACAGAGGGUGAGAAUCCCGUACGUGGUCGCUAGCUAUUGCCGUGUAAAGCCCCUUCGACGAGUCGAGUUGUUUGGGAAUGCAGCUCUAAAUGGGAGGUAAAUUUCUUCUAAAGCUAAAUAUUGGCCAGAGACCGAUAGCGCACAAGUAGAGUGAUCGAAAGAUGAAAAGCACUUUGGAAAGAGAGUCAAACAGCACGUGAAAUUGUUGAAAGGGAAGCGCUUGCAGCCAGACUUGCUUGCAGUUGCUCAUCCGGGCUUUUGCCCGGUGCACUCUUCUGUAGGCAGGCCAGCAUCAGUUUGGGCGGUGGGAUAAAGGUCUCUGUCACGUACCUCUCUUCGGGGAGGCCUUAUAGGGGAGACGACAUACCACCAGCCUAGACUGAGGUCCGCGCAUCUGCUAGGAUGCUGGCGUAAUGGCUGUAAGCGGCCCGUCUUGAAACACGGACCAAGGAGUCUAACAUCUAUGCGAGUGUUUGGGUGUCAAGCCCGAGCGCGUAAUGAAAGUGAACGGAGGUGGGAACCCGCAAGGGUGCACCAUCGACCGAUCCUGAAGUUUACGGAAGGAUUUGAGUAAGAGCAUGGCUGUUGGGACCCGAAAGAUGGUGAACUAUGCUUGAAUAGGGUGAAGCCAGAGGAAACUCUGGUGGAGGCUCGCAGCGGUUCUGACGUGCAAAUCGAUCGUCAAAUUUGGGCAUAGGGGCGAAAGACUAAUCGAACUAUCUAGUAGCUG
rnacentral:rRNA from 1 species